CCUUCCCCUUUAAAUGCCAACGUAUUAGCACGUGGCGUCUGUGGCGUUUAUGAACUAAACAUUUCUGUGAUCUAUGGGAAAACUUUUGUCUUUUAUUAUAUAUGCAGUUUUGUAGAUUUUUCUUUUUAUAUUGCAAAUGUUGUGCUCUCUCUAACGGUAAAAGUUAGAUUAGGUUUUAGGGUUGUUUUAUAUAACUUUCUUUGUUUUGAUAAUUGUGAUUCAUUUUGUUAUUUACCGUUUCCAUCUUGAUUUCAAUGUUCUCUUUGCAGGAUAUAGCAAAUACAGAGUUGGCUCCAACACAUCCAAUUCGGCUUGGAUUGGCUCUUAACUUCUUUGUAUUUUACUAUGAAAUUUUGAAUUCUCCUGAUCGAGCAUGCAGCCUUGCAAAACAGGCUUUUGAUGAAGCCAUUGCAGAGUUGGACACACUGGGAGAGGAUUCGUACAAGGACAGCACUUUGAUAAUGCAACUCCUUCGUGAUAAUCUGACUUAGUGGACCUCAGACAUGCAGGAUGAUGGAGCAGAGGAGAUCAAAGAAGCACCCAAGCACGAAGAGGAGAAGCAGUAAACUGAUUCGUUUUCAUUCUAGUAUUCCACUUCUCCUCUGUUUGUUUUUGACUGGAGAAGUUGUUUGGACCCUCUAUCUAUUUGGUUUGGAGCCUCUAGGAUUUGAUGUGAUUAUUGUUUUUUAAUUUCAGAGCACGAGUGUUUACUUUUGUGGUUUAAUGAUUAGUGCCUAAAUCCAGUUUGGUUUGCAAUUUUUAGAAACAAUUUUCUCUUAGUUUUUGAUUUAGAUUUUUAUAUUUUUAACGAUUUUUUAAAAAUGUUUUAAUCAAUUUUUUUUAAUCUUUGGCUUCACUUAAUCUUAAUAUAUUUAAAAAGUAAAAAUAUGGGUGAAAUUUUUUUUGAGCAAACUUCACUUUACCUCUUGUAGUUUGGGUCAUGUACGGUCUAUUCUUUUAACGUUUGGAAAUGAUCACAUAACCUUCAUGUGAUUUGUGGACAGAACUGUACUGUUAGACUCAUUAACUAUUUACCAUUGUAUAUAAGUGGCAUUCAUGUCAUAUAUUU